rnacentral:rRNA from 1 species
CACCGGCGGCCCGAGUGGUGGCCACUAUUAUUGGGUCUAAAGGGUCCGUAGCCGGUUUGAUCAGUCUUCCGGGAAAUCUGACAGCUCAACUGUUAGGCUUCCGGGGGAUACUGUCAGACUUGGGACCGGGAGAGGUAAGAGGUACUACAGGGGUAGGAGUGAAAUCUUGUAAUCCUUGUGGGACCACCAGUGGCGAAGGCGUCUUACCAGAACGGGUCCGACGGUGAGGGACGAAAGCUGGGGGCACGAACCGGAUUAGAUACCCGGGUAGUCCCAGCCGUAAACGAUGCUCGCUAGGUGUCUGGGAUGGUGCGACCGUUUCAGGUGCCGCAGGGAAGCCGUGAAGCGAGCCACCUGGGAAGUACGGCCGCAAGGCUGAAACUUAAAGGAAUUGGCGGGGAGCACUACAACGGGUGGAGCCUGCGGUUU